rnacentral:rRNA from 1 species
CCUACGGGGGGCAGCAGUGGGGAAUAUUGGACAAUGGGGGCAACCCUGAUCCAGCAAUGCCGCGUGUGUGAAGAAGGCCUGCGGGUUGUAAAGCACUUUCAGUAGGGAAGAAAAGCUCGGGGCUAAUACCUCCGGGUCUUGACGUUACCUAAAGAAGAAGCACCGGCUAACUCCGUGCCAGCAGCCGCGGUAAUACGGAGGGUGCGAGCGGUAAUCGGAAUUACGGGGCGUAAAGCGUAAGGAGGAGGUGAAAGCCCUGGGCUUAACCUGGGAACUGCAUUCGUGACUGCCCGGCUAGAGUAUGGGAGAGGGAAGCGGAAUUUCCGGUGUAGCGGUGAAAUGCGUAGAUAUCGGAAGGAACACCGAUGGCGAAGGCAGCUUCCUGGCCCAAUACUGACGCUGAGGUGCGAAAGCGUGGGGAUCAAACAGGAUUAGAUACCCUUGUAGUC